GAUGAAGAACGUAGCGAAAUGCGAUAAGUAAUGUGAAUUGCAGAAUUCAGUGAAUCAUCGAGUUUUUGAACGCAUAUUGCGCCCUCUGGUAUUCCGGGGGGCAUGCCUGUUCGAGCGUCAUUAAAUAACCCUCAAGCAUAGCUUGGUGUUGGGCUUUUUUACGUCCUUGACUGGGAUGGGCCUAAAAAUUAGUGGCGAUGGCUUUUUUACUUUCAAGCGUAGUAAAUCUCGUCUUGCUAAAGAGGAAAAAGAUUUUUUUUCUGCCAAAAAUUUUAACAUUUAAAGUUGACCUCGGAUCAGGUAGGAUUACCCGCUGAACUUAAGCAUAUCAAUAAGUGGAGGA
rnacentral:misc_RNA from 1 species